AUUAUUCUCGCUUGCUGGGGUCAUGGUGUUUUGGCCUCUCCUGGCCUGGACUCUCAAAAACUCAUCAUCCUUCAUAGGUCUGAAGGCUUCUACAUUCCCACCAGCAGGUGGACCAUAUGAACUCAAAACUAGUUGUGGCAGAGGGACCCUGAAGAGAUCUACCCCUGGUGAAUGCCCCCAGGAGUGGGCUGUUCUCACACCUGGUGCCCAGCCUGUGCCCUCGCAGGUCUUGGUGCCUCCACUCAGCUCAAUUCCAGUUUUCUGGCCAUGCCCCGCUGUGUCCCUUUCUCUCUCCUUAGUGCCUAGCUGUGCAAUGUUUGCCUCUCCUUAACAUGUCCUCAGCUGACCCCAUAUCCUCAGUCCUUGCAACCCUGUUCCUCAGUGACACCUGUGUAUUCUCUCCAGUGGAGACACAGGUGGGACACCCCCAAGCUCAUGGUACAUGCCUGUCAUCAGUACCCCUGGACUGUCAUGGUGGGUCAGUCUGCCCUAGGCUGGACUGACCAACCUGUUCAUUCCCCCACAGGAUUGCCCUUUACAGUUCAUGAGUUCCCCCAACUGGAGUGCAGACAAGAGCACUGAUUGAUGGACCAGGUAGACUUGAAACCAGGAAUAGCACAAAAGUUAUCAAAGAGGCUCAGCCAUGGAGAUUGCAAGCUGGGGAUGGAAGUAUCCCUGGAAUUGAGCUGUUCUCACACCUGGUACCUGAGUUAUACCCCUGGUGUCUGGGUACCAAGGUCACUAGCCUUGCCACUUUUCUAUGUUCCUGAUCCCCUACUAAACAGUCCACCUUUUCGCCUACUUCCCCUGACUCCUGUACCCUGUCCCCUCUUUCUGCCUAGUUUGAAGACACUGGUCAUCCCAUAACAUGUCCUGGGCUAAUACAUAUCCUCAAAUCGUUCUUGAAAAUCUGUUCCUCUUCCCUCCUCCCCCUCCCCCUCCCCCCCCCCCCGCUCUUUCCACGGUCUCCCUCUGAUGCCGAGCCGAAGCUGGACGGUACUGCUGCCAUCUCGGCUCACUGCAACCUCCCUGCCUGAUUCUCUUGCCUCAGCCUGCCGAGUGCCUGCGAUUGCAGGCGCGUGCCGCCACGCCUGACUGGUUUUCGUAUUUUUUUUGGUGGAGACGGGGUUUCGCUGUGUUGGCCGGGCUGGUCUCCAGCUCCUAACCACGAGUGAUCCGCCAGCCUCGGCCUCCCGAGGUGCCGGGAUUGCAGACGGAGUCUCGUUCAUUCAGUGCUCAAUGGUGUCCAGGCUGGAGUGCAGUGGCGUGAUCUCGGCUCGCUACAACCUCCACCUCCCAGCAACCCGCCUUGGCCUCCCAAAGUGCCGAGAUUGCAGCCUCUGCCCGGCGGCCACCCCGUCUGGGAAGUGAGGAGCGUCUCCGCCUGGCCGCCCAUCAUCUGGGAUGUGAGGAGCCCCUCUGCCUGGCUGCCCAGUCUGGAAAGUGAGGAGCGUCUCUGCCCGGCCGCCAUCCCAUCUAGGAAGUGAGGAGCGCCUCUUCCCGGCCGCCAUCACAUCUGGGAAGUGAGGAGCGUCUCUGCCCGGCCGCCCAUCGUCUGAGAUGUGGGGAGCAUCUCUGCCCUGCCGCCCCGUCCGGGAUGUGAGGAGCGUCUCUGCCCGGCCGCCCCGUCUGAGAAGUGAGGAGACCCUCUGCCUGGCAACUGCCCCGUCUGAGAAGUGAGGAGCCCCUCCGCCCGGCAGCCGCCCCGUCUGAGAAGUGAGGAGCCCCUCCGCCCAGCAGCCACCCCGUCUGGGAAGUGAGGAGCAUCUCCGCCCGGCAGCCGCCCCGUCUGAGAAGUGAGGAGCCUCUCCGCCCAGCAGCCACCUCGUCCGGGAGGGAGGUGGGGGGGUCAGCCCCCCGCCCGGCCAGCCGCCCCGUCCGGGAGGGAGGUGGGGGGAUCAGUCCCCCACCCGGCCAGCCGCCCUGUCCGGGAGAUGAGGGGCGCCUCUGCCCGGCCGCCCCUACUGGGAAGUGAGGAGCCCUUCUGCCCGGCCAGCCGCUCCGUCCGGGAGGGAGGUGGGGGGGUCAGCCCCCCGCCCGGCCAGCCGCCCUGUCCGGAAGGGAGGUGGGGGGGUCAGCCCCCCGCGCGGCCAGCCGACCCGUCCGGGAGGGAGGUGGGGGGGUCAGCCCCCUGCCCGGCCAGCCGCCCCGUCCGGGAGGUGCGGGGCGCCUCUGCCCGGCCGCCCCUACUGGGAAGUGAGGAGCCCCUCUGCCCGGCCAGCCGCCCCAUCUGGGAGGGAGGUGGGGGGGUCAGCCCCCCGCCCUGCCAGCCGCCCUGUCCGGGAGGGAGGUGGGGGGGUCAGCCCCCCGCCUGGCCAGCCACCCCGUCCGGGAGGUGAGGGGCGCCUCUGCCCGGCCGCCCCUACUGGGAAGUGAGGAGCCCCUCUGCCUGGCCAGCCGCCCCGUCCAGGAGGGAGGUGGGGGGGGGGGUCAGCCCCCCGCCUGGCGAGCCGCCCUGUCCGGGAGGUGAGGGGCGCCUCUGCCCGGCCGCCCCUACUGGGAAAUGAGGAGCCCCUCUGCCCGGCCACCACCCCAUCUGGGAGGUGUACCCAACAGCUCGUUGAGAACGGGCCAUGAUGACAAUGGCGGUUUUGUGGAAUAGAAAGGGGGGAAAGAUGGGGAAAAGAUUGAGAAAUCGGAUGGUUGCCGUGUCUGUGUAGAAAGAGGUAGACGUGGGAGACUUUUCAUUUUGUUCUGUACUAAGAAAAAUUCUUCUGCCUUGGGAUCCUGUUGAUCUGUGACCUUACCCCCAACCCUGUGCUCUCUGAAACAUGUGCUGUAUCCACUCAGGGUUGAAUGGAUUAAGGGCGGUGCAAGAUGUGCUUUGUUAAACAGAUGCUUGAAGGCAGCAUGCUCCUUAAGAGUCAUCACCACUCCCUAAUCUCAAGUACCCAGGGACACAAACACUGCGGAAGGCCGCAGGGUCCUCUGCCUAGGAAAACCAGAGACCUUUGUUCACUUGUUUAUCUGCUGACCUUCCCUCCCCUAUUGUCCUGUGACCCUGCCAAAUCCCCCUCUACGAGAAACACCCAAGAAUGAUCAAUAAAAAAAAAAGAAAA
rnacentral:lncRNA from 1 species